UACGUAGAAGACGAGUGUUAUUCAUCUUUAACAGGUUUAAAGGGUACCUAGACGGAAAAUCAAGCCAUAGUAGGGACUAAUUUUCUAGAGUUUUAUAGGUGAAGAUCGAAUUACCUGAGGAGCGAUGGAAUGCAUUGAUACAGGUAAGACGGAUAGCAGCGAAGGCAAUCUUCUAUGUAAUAACUGACGUUGAGGGACGAAGC
rnacentral:rRNA from 1 species